UAUUAUUAAAAUUGUAGAAAUGUAAAGCUUGAGUAGUAAUAGUUAAGGUCUUGAAACUUAAAGAAUUUGGCGGUAUUUUAGUCCUUUCAGAGGAAUCUGUCCUGUAAUCGAUAUUACACGUUAAAUUUUACUUAAUUUAGUUUAAGCUUGUAUACCGCCGUUAUAAGAAUAUUUUUUAAGAAUUAUUUUCUUGAAAUUAAGUAAAUAGUAUGUCAGGUCAAGGUGCAGUUUAUGGUUAAGUGGAGAUGGAUUACAAUAAUUUUAUUUAUACGGAUUUAAUUUAGUGUAACUGGUUAAUGAAGGUGGAUUUGAUAGUAAUUUUAUUAAAAUAUGAUAAAGUGAAUUAGGCUCUAAAAUGUGCACAUAUCGCCCGUCACUCUCAUUUAAAAUGAG
rnacentral:rRNA from 1 species